rnacentral:rRNA from 1 species
CUUCUUAGAGGGACUAUCGGUGUUUAACCGAUGGAAGUUUGAGGCAAUAACAGGUCUGUGAUGCCCUUAGAUGUUC